rnacentral:lncRNA from 1 species
GGGCAUUCCAAGCGCGCCUUUUCAGCUUGAACCGCAGUACAAUCAUGCGAUACACCCCUUUCAGACAGGUCUUGCGCAAAUGGAAAAGGGAGAAUCCAGUUCAGCCAGACAGCCAACGCAAACAGCCCAUGCGCACAAGGAACAAAUGGAAUUCUAAUCGCCCGAAGCAAAGGAGCAUGAGAAACACUUUCUGCCCAAGCCACC